CAGGGAACUUCAAGCGCGUAGGUUAAGACUUGCGCUUUUCUUGACUCUUCAACGGUCUUGGAAUAACGGGUGGGUAAGGACGGUCUCCAGCCUGCCGCGGUAACACCGGCGCCUCAAGUGGUAGUCGCUUUUAUUGGGCCUAAAACGUCCGUAGCCGGUCUGGUGCAUUCGUGGGUAAAUCAACCCGCUCAACGGGUUGAAUUCUGCGAGCACGGCCAGACUUGGGACCGGGAGAGUGUGUGGGGUACUCUCAGGGUAGGGGUAAAAUCCUGUCAUCCUGAGAGGACCACCUGUUGCGAAGGCGCCACACUAGAACGGAUCCGACGGUCAGGGACGAAGCCUAGGGGCACGAACCGGAUUAGAUACCCGGGUAGUCCUAGGUGUAAACGCUGUGGACUUGAUGUUGGGAGUGCUCCGAGCACCCUCAGUGUCGAAGCGAAGGUGAUAAGUCCACUGCCUGGGGAGUACGGUCGCAAGGCUGAAACUUAAAGGAAUUGGCGGGGGAGCACUGCAACCUGAGGAUUGUGC
rnacentral:rRNA from 1 species